rnacentral:misc_RNA from 1 species
GAUGUAGAACGUAGCGAAAUGCGAUAAGUAAUGUGAAUUGCAGAAUUCAGUGAAUCAUCGAAUCUUUGAACGCACAUUGCGCCCGCCAGCAUUCUGGCGGGCAUGCCUGUUCGAGCGUCAUUUCAACCCUCGAGCCCCCCCGGGGGCCUCGGUGUUGGGGGACGGCACACCAGCCGCCCCCGAAAUGCAGUGGCGACCCCGCCGCAGCCUCCCCUGCGUAGUAGCACACACCUCGCACCGGAGCGCGGAGGCGGUCACGCCGUAAAACGCCCAACUUUCUUAGAGUUGACCUCGGAUCAGGUAGGAAUACCCGCUGAACUUAAGCAUAUCAAUAAGCGGAGGA